rnacentral:tRNA from 1 species
GUGGUUGUAACUCAAUGGUAGAGCACUUACCUAGCAUGUGUGAGGCACUGGGUUUGAUUCUCAGCACCACA